rnacentral:lncRNA from 1 species
UUGCCAAUUUAGAGCAAGUAUUGGGUAGAAGAUUUGGGGUUCAGAAAAAAAGUGCAGAAGCUCAUUUCAGUUGCACACCUGGCCGAGCAGCAAGGCUUAAAGACCCUGGUUCCUUUUUAUCCCACCCAAUCCCUAUCUACCUCCACGACUGCCUUCACCCAGGCUAGAAUCCACUACCCAACACGGCUGGCAGCGUCGUGGGAGACAUUCUCAAGCCUUGCAGUUUCCGCAGCUGUAGCUGGGCCGUGGCUGGAUUAGGCUAGAUACCAGAGGGAAGAAGGCCGACAUGGGCAGAGUGAUGGGAAAGUAGAGCAUCCGUGGGAGAGUGAGGAGACUUCCAAGUCAAAUUUUCAAAGUUUUGGGUGGUGGGAUUUAGGAUUUAGUUACUAUUGGGUCAGACACAAUACCUCUUUCUUUGAACACCUUUUAAAAAGCGACAAUUUUAUUAUUUAAGGCAUCAUAGAGUUUGAUGGACACAGAGGACCGAGGAUCCCAUUUCAUUCUCUCUCUCCCUGGACAGGAAUGUCCUCUGCCAUGGAACGGAAAGGUGGCCAUUUGGAUUCUAAGACACUGAAUGGUAGAGGACUCACUUUUAUAUCAAGAAACUUGUUUACAUUUUAGAAGAUGAUCGAUUAGAAUGUUUUCCUUACAUUGGACAGAAUUUC